GGAAGAGCCAGGAAAGAGAAACAGAAAGAGAGAGUGAGGUGGAGUGUUAGCAUAACCCGAAGCUUAAACGUGUCAUUUGUGUUGUUGUUUUAGCCCCACCAUGUAAACGCUCAGGAAAUCUUAGCAGGAGAGCCGCUGGGCCGUCGCCACCCUCCACUCUGUUUUCUUUGGUUGCAUCUCUCACAGUUUUUACCAUGUGAGAGCAGGAGAGGAGGUCACAUGACCAGUGAACAGACUCCAGGAUCUGAAGGUCCAGUCUCUGGUGGAUCAGAAGUCCUGGAUAGAACUACACCAUGAAGACUGAAGAACCAAGAAACUGUGAGAAAAGGUUGUUGAAAAGCGUCAGUCAGGAUGAUACAAGAACAUUUCCAAGUUCCUGAAGAUCUCCUGGAGUCCAGUUAAAUCCAUCAUUAAGAGAUGGAAGGAAGAUGGAACGUGAAUAAAUCUGACUAGAGCAGGAUGUCCUCAAGACCCGAGAGACUAGAGAGGGAGGCCACCAAGACUCCUAUGACUCCUCUGAAGGAGUUAAGGGCAGAUUUAGGGUCAGUUUGAGUCUCCAGGAAAUGAAUGUCAGUCAAUGUAACGUCCUGUGAAGUGAUGGAACCAGAACUCUGUGUGAGAAUAAUUACAUCCGUUACCUUUGCUUUUUUUUGUGUGUAAAUUUUUUACUGUUAACACACACUCUAACACACACACAAAGAAACACACUCACACACACGCACACACACAGGAUGGCGGGUGGCAGCUGUUAUUUAUGUCUGCUUUCUUUAGCGAGGUUUCUCACAGGAACAGGAGCCGAGCAGGAAUCCGACGCUUCCUCUGCGGCCGCCAUCGAUCACUCUUUAUUAACACAAACACACACAAACCACACACACAGGUCGACAACUACAUGUGAAAAAAACAUGGACACACCGAUGCGUGUCAGGAAUGUGUGGAGGAUACCGAUGGAGCUGUGCCAUGACGCCCCCGAUGUCCAGGAAUAGUCCAUGGGACGCCUGAGCUCUGAACUGCAGGAUCUGAGGUACAACGGCACUUCACUUCCUGCCACAGACGUCUCCAUGGUAACUGAUGCUGAACUCCUAGAUACCAGAUCAACACGUGUGGAAACACCUCCUACUGACCGGUUCAUUCUGUUGGAAAAUGGCAUCAUUGGUCUGAGAAGAUCCUGUGGAGGGUAAGAAUUUAUAAAGCUGCAAUUUUCACAGCGACUUAAAUCGAAGCAACUUAUUUAUAGUGAAAAUUUCAUUCAGUAAAAAAAUUGUGCUUCACGCCAUGAUGCUGCCACCACCAUGCUUCACAUCAUGAUGCUGCCACCACCAUGCUUCACAUCAUGAUGCUACCACCACCAUGCUUCAUAUCAUGAUGCUACCACCACC
ensembl:lncRNA